CCUACGGGAGGCAGCAGUGGGGAAUUUUCCGCAAUGGGCGAAAGCCUGACGGAGCAAUACCGCGUGAGGGAAGACUGCCUAUGGGUUGUAAACCUCUUUUUUCAGGGAGGAAUAAAAUGACGUGUACCUGAAGAAUAAGCAUCGGCUAACUCCGUGCCAGCAGCCGCGGUAAGACGGAGGAUGCAAGUGUUAUCCGGAAUCACUGGGCGUAAAGCGUCUGUAGGUGGUUUAAUAAGUCAACUGUUAAAUCUUGAGGCUCAACUUCAAAACCGCAGUCGAAACUAUUAGACUAGAGUAUAGUAGAGGUAAAGGGAAUUUCCAGUGGAGCGGUGAAAUGCGUAGAUAUUAGAAAGAACACCGAUGGCGAAAGCACUUUACUGGGCUAUUACUAACACUCAGAGACGAAAGCUAGGGUAGCAAAUGGGAUUAGAUACCCCAGUAGUCCUAGCCGUAAACUAUGGAUACUAGAUGUUGAACAGAUCGACCUGUGCAGUAUCAAAGCUAACGCGUUAAGUAUCCCGCCUGGGAAGUNUGCUCGCAGAGUAGAACGUACAAUAGAAGUUAGACGGCGUGAGACGUCGCCGAACGGACGACGACGAGGGGAGGUAGG
rnacentral:rRNA from 1 species